CGGGCCGCUGCAGCAGUCGAGAAUCUUCCGCAAUGGACGCAAGUCUGACGGAGCGACGCCGCGUGAUCGAUGAAGUUUUUAGGAAUGUAAAGAUCUUUUCUCUAGGAGGAAGUUUAUUGACGUUACUUGAGGAAUAAGGGGUUGCUAAACUCGUGCCAGCAGCAGCGGUAAUACGGAGUGCCCCGAGCGUUAUCCGGAAUUAUUGGGCGUAAAGGGUGUGUAGGCGGUUUUAUUAGUCUUUUGUUAAAGACCCGGGCUCAACCUGGGAAAAGCAAAAGAAACGGUAAAACUAGAGAGUGUGAGAGGUGAAUGGAACUCAUAGUGUAGGGGUGAAAUCCGUUGAUAUUAUGGGGAACACCAAAAGCGAAGGCAAUUCACUGGCGCACUUCUGACGCUGAAACACGAAAGCAUGGGUCGCGAAUGGGAUUAGAUACCCCGGUAGUC
rnacentral:rRNA from 1 species